GAUUUGCUCGGUCGAAUCCUCCCAGAUCGUACCGUGCAGAAGGAUUUCCAC
rnacentral:sRNA from 1 species